GGUCGACUGGCCCAGUGGUUAAGGCACCCGCGUCAGUAUACCUUUCAGCGCUAUAUUAGCCAUAAUAGAUUAUUAACAACCUCUUAGUUUACAGAUUCACUCCUGAAAUCGCGGGGGAUCGCAGGUUCGAUCCCUGCGUCGACCA